rnacentral:piRNA from 1 species
UACCUCACUCAGGAUGAAACCCUC